CAGCCGCCGCGGGAAUACGAAGGGGGCUAGCGUUGCUCGGAAUUACUGGGCAUAAAGGGAGCGUAGGCGGAUCGUUUAGUCAGGGGUGAAAUCCCGGGGCUCAACCUCGGAGCUGCCUUUGAUACUGGCGAUCUUGAGUAUGGGAGAGGUGUGUGGAACUCCGAGUGUAGAGGUGAAAUUCGUAGAUAUUCGGAAGAACACCAGUGGCGAAGGCGACACACUGGCCCAUUACUGACGCUGAGGCUCGAAAGCGUGGGGAGCAAACAGGAUUAGAUACCCCCGUAGUCCCUGUCUCUUAUAC
rnacentral:rRNA from 1 species